rnacentral:rRNA from 3 species
GGCGGGACACGUGGUAUCCUGUCUGAAUAUGGGGGGACCAUCCUCCAAGGCUAAAUACUCCUGACUGACCGAUAGUGAACCAGUACCGUGAGGGAAAGGCGAAAAGAACCCCGGCGAGGGGAGUGAAAAAGAACCUGAAACCGUGUACGUACAAGCAGUGGGAGCACCCUUUGGGGUGUGACUGCGUACCUUUUGUAUAAUGGGUCAGCGACUUAUAUUCUGUAGCAAGGUUAACCGAAUAGGGGAGCCGGAGGGAAACCGAGUCUUAAUUGGGCGUUAAGUUGCAGGGUAUAGACCCGAAACCCGGUGAUCUAGCCAUGGGCAGGUUGAAGGUUGGGUAACACUAACUGGAGGACCGAACCGACUAAUGUUGAAAAAUUAGCGGAUGACCUGUGGCUGGGGGUGAAAGGCCAAUCAAACCGGGAGAUAGCUGGUUCUCCCCGAAAGCUAUUUAGGUAGCGCCUCGUGAA